rnacentral:misc_RNA from 1 species
GAAAUGCGAUACUUGGUGUGAAUUGCAGAAUCCCGUGAACCAUCGAGUCUUUGAACGCAAGUUGCGCCCGAAGCCAUUAGGCCGAGGGCACGCCUGACUGCGAGACUGACAAGUCGAGCAGAGACGAAAGUCGGCCAUAGUGAUCCGGUGGUCCCGAGUGGAAGGGCCAUCGCUCAACGGAUAAAAGGUACUCUAGGGAUAACAGGCUGAACGCAUCGCACU